rnacentral:ribozyme from 1 species
CUUUCAAACUAAACAACUACCCAGCGAAACUAUAUAGACUGCAUCGCAGCGAACGAACGAACGAAAGAACACGUAACAACAACAACAAUUUAAAAAAAAAAAAAAAAAAAAAAAAAAAAAAAAAAAAGAAACAUAC